rnacentral:rRNA from 1 species
UGGGGAAUUUUGGACAAUGGGCGAAAGCCUGAUCCAGCAAUGCCGCGUGUGUGAAGAAGGCCUUCGGGUUGUAAAGCACUUUUGUCCGGAAAGAAAUCCUCUGGGUUAAUACCUCGGGGGGAUGACGGUACCGGAAGAAUAAGCACCGGCUAACUACGUGCCAGCAGCCGCGGUAAUACGUAGGGUGCAAGCGUUAAUCGGAAUUACUGGGCGUAAAGCGUGCGCAGGCGGUUUUGUAAGACGGAUGUGAAAUCCCCGGGCUUAACCUGGGAACUGCAUUCGUGACUGCAAGGCUAGAGUAUGGCAGAGGGGGGUAGAAUUCCACGUGUAGCAGUGAAAUGCGUAGAGAUGUGGAGGAAUACCGAUGGCGAAGGCAGCCCCCUGGGCCAAUACUGACGCUCAUGCACGAAAGCGUGGGGGAGCAAACAGGAUUAGAUACCCCUGGUAGUCCACGCCCUAAACGAUGUCAACUAGUUGUUGGGGAUUCAUUUCCUUAGUAACGUAGCUAACGCGUGAAGUUGACCGCCUGGGGGAGUACGGUCGCAAGAUU